AGUGAACGCUGGCGGUAGGCCUAACACAUGCAAGUCGAACGGCAGCACAGUAAGAGCUUGCUCUUACGGGUGGCGAGUGGCGGACGGGUGAGGGAUACAUCGGAAUCUACUUUUUCGUGGGGGAUAACGUAGGGAAACUUACGCUAAUACCGCAUACGACCUACGGGUGAAAGCAGGGGAUCUUCGGACCUUGCGCGAUUGAAUGAGCCGAUGUCGGAUUAGCUAGUUGGCGGGGUAAAGGCCCACCAAGGCGACGAUCCGUAGCUGGUCUGAGAGGAUGAUCAGCCACACUGGAACUGAGACACGGUCCAGACUCCUACGGGGGGCAGCAGUGGGGAAUAUUGGACAAUGGGCGCAAGCCUGAUCCAGCCAUACCGCGUGGGUGAAGAAGGCCUUCGGGUUGUAAAGCCCUUUUGUUGGGAAAGAAAAGCAGCAGGUUAAUACCCCGCUGUUCUGACGGUACCCAAAGAAUAAGCACCGGCUAACUUCGUG
rnacentral:rRNA from 1 species